rfam:Glycine soja cultivar W05 scaffold36_55, whole genome shotgun sequence.
AAGAGAGUGAAGGAGCUUCCCUCAGCCCAUUCAUGGAGAUAACGAAAGAUUGGGUUGCUGAAUUAACUGCUAGCUCACACAUUCAUUCAUACAAUAGUAUUCAAUUAGGGUAAUAUUGUGUGAAUGAAGCGGGAGUAUAUAGUAUCUAUAUUGGAACCCUCUUUCUCUGUGCUUGGACUGAAGGGAGCUCCUUCUUUUUCUGCU